GGAAGGAAAGUGAGGAAAACUGAAU
rnacentral:piRNA from 1 species